rnacentral:rRNA from 1 species
GAACGGGUGAGUAACACGUGGGCAAUCUGCCCUUCACUCUGGGACAAGCCCUGGAAACGGGGUCUAAUACCGGAUAAUACCUGCCUGGGCAUCUGGGUGGGUUGAAAGCUCCGGCGGUGAAGGAUGAGCCCGCGGCCUAUCAGCUUGUUGGUGAGGUAGUGGCUCACCAAGGCGACGACGGGUAGCCGGCCUGAGAGGGCGACCGGCCACACUGGGACUGAGACACGGCCCAGACUCCUACGGGAGGCAGCAGUGGGGAAUAUUGCACAAUGGGCGAAAGCCUGAUGCAGCGACGCCGCGUGAGGGAUGACGGCCUUCGGGUUGUAAACCUCUUUCAGCAGGGAAGAAGCGAGAGUGACGGUACCUGCAGAAGAAGCGCCGGCUAACUACGUGCCAGCAGCCGCGGUAAUACGUAGGGCGCAAGCGUUGUCCGGAAUUAUUGGGCGUAAAGAGCUCGUAGGCGGCUUGUCACGUCGGGUGUGAAAGACCGGGGCUUAACCCCGGUUCUGCAUUCGAUACGGGCUAGCUAGAGUGUGGUAGGGGAGAUCGGAAUUCCUGGUGUAGCGGUGAAAUGCGCAGAUAUCAGGAGGAACACCGGUGGCGAAGGCGGAUCUCUGGGCCAUUACUGACGCUGAGGAGCGAAA